rnacentral:rRNA from 1 species
AGGGUGUAAACGCUGCAGACUUGGUGUUGGGAACCCUUCGGGGGUGCUCAGUGCCGGAGAGAAGUUGUUAAGUCUGCUACUUGGGGAGUACGUCCGCAAGGAUGAAACUUAAAGGAAUUGGCGGGGGAGCACCGCAACGGGAGGAGCGUGCGGUUUAAUUGGAUUCAACACCGUAAAACUCACCAGGGAAGACUGUUACAUGAAGGCCGAGAUGAAGACUCUGCUAGAUUUUUCAGAGAGGUGGUGCAUGGCGUCAGUGACU